GGCAGGUAGCUUAGUGGUUAGAGUGUAGAAGUGGCAGGUAGCCUAGUGGUUAGAGUGUAAGGGAGGCAGGUAGCCUAGCGGUUAGAGUAUAGAGGCGGCAAGUAGCCUAGUGGUUAGAGUGUAGAGGUGGCAGGUAGCCUAGUGGUUAGAGUGGAGGGGGGGCAGGUAGCCUAGUGGUUAGAGCAGGUAGCCUAGCGGUUAGAGUGUAGAUGCGGCAGGUAUCCUGGUGGUUGGAGUGGAGGGGCGGCAGGUAUCCUAGUUGUUAGAGUGUAUAGGCGGCAGGUGUCCUAGUGGUUAGAGUGUAGAGGCGGCAGGUAGCUUAGUGGUUAGAGUGUAGAAGUGGCAGGUAGACUAGUGGUUAGAGUGUAGAGGCGGCAGGUAGCCUAGUGGUUAGAGUGUGGAGGCG
rnacentral:lncRNA from 1 species